AUAUGGGUUAAAACACGUACAUCUGCGCUCUCUGUCUCUGUCCACCUUUGCCUAUCUCUGCACACUACCAGCAUGCUAUUGCGAUAGGCCCUGCUCCAUACAUCGAGAAGAUAUAUUUUCAAGAUGAAGCAACCAAAACUCUUUCAUUUAAACACAGACAAGUCAUAACAGAGUUGGCUCGCAAAGAGUGCUGCAACUGCUGCCUUUCCAGCCUAAACAAAAACAAACCCAACUCUCAAAUCCAUUUUCAGGGAGCAAUAGUUCUUCAAGAUUGUUAUUCUUUGGAUACAAAUUAUUUCUUGUAGACAAGAAAGUUCUUAGGAGAGUUGAUAGCUUGCCGCUACAACAGGGGAUGCGGUUGGAGAUGAGACAGCAUUUUGAAUGGUGGAUGGACUUUUACAAGCUUUCUGAGUUCUGAAAAUCCAUGUGGAGGACUCCAUGGAGAAAUGAAGCAGCAAUAUGAGCAAUGGAUAAAUCAAUAGGUGCAGUGAAGAAAAUGGAUACUUUUAUGUUAACAUUCAUUCCUCUUGUGGAAGCUGCUGCUGCCUGUAAUUCUUAUUUAUUGUCUGUGUUUCUCCUUUCCUAUCUGUUGCUUGUCAAUGUGCAUUCAGUAAUAUUGGA